GGCAAUUUGACAAGAGUCUACUGCAGGUGCCGGCAACCUGUUUUGGCUGCGGGUCAAAAUCUUCCAAAAUCGGGUAAUUUCCGCACAAUACAACCUAGUGCAUUCGACUCCGCUAGCCGAGGUUUAUCAAUUGACACCACUCCCGUCCCAAUCGAAACAUUGGUCCAUACGGAAGGGUAGUCUUUUAGGAACUCAACUUCUUUUACAAAGGACGUAGUCCAGUGUUUCCCAACGUGGGGCCCACGCUCCACAAGGGGCAAUUUAAUUGUUAAGCGGGGCAAUUCGAAAAUGGACUCGUCCAGAGUUUAAAUUAACCGUAUGGCGACUCUCGGUCGCUACUCGAGCUGAGUAAACGUCCAUAAUUACUAACAAUUAAAAUAAUAUAAAAAAAUCUUUCAUUAAAAUUAUUUCCUACUUGAAUUUUGGUUCUCCAUUAUAUAUUUUGAAAAUAUACUUACUGUGUUUCCUCAAUAAUUUUCUAAUGAUUUCUUUGUGAAACCUAUCAUUUAAGUUUUUUCAGUGAACAAUUCAAGUUUUGAAUAUUAAAAAUUAUGUUUACGUUACAUAGGGGGUAUAAGAAUUUUAUAAAAGCUUCAGUGGGGCAUGGCACAAAAAAGGUUGGGAAACACUGGCGUAGUCUAUGUACAUUGAGCACCUAUGUACACUCGUACGCAAAUCAAGCUUCCCGAGGAAAAAUGGUGAUAUCCUGGACUCUCGUCCUUCCCUAUAGGCAUUUCUGGAGAAAAUGACAGCGUAGUGAAGGGGCCUAUGCGUCAUGCGCACUCGGAAUGUGAUCUGUUACGUCCCGACUAAGAAAAAUUCCAUUGUCUUCAAUUUCAAAAUUACGAAAGCGUCAGCAAUCAGGAAGUUGGUUCAUUGACUGACCUCCUUAGAGUCACAAGCGUCAACAAAUUCUCUCUUCUUCUCGAAACGCUGCGUCGAAAAUAUGUAGCAAUGAUAGACAUUCCAACAGGUCAAUAUACUAAUGAACUCUUUCCUCUAAACCAUGCGAAAUCAGCAUUUUCGACUCUAAUAAAAAACCCGAUUACGGACAAUAGAGACACAGUCGGCCAUACAGUCGCGAGGUGCGCGGUCUCUCUGUCCGAGGAACGUUUAGUAUUGCGAAAUACGUCGAGCAGAGUUUCGUGAAAAUCAACUGUCACACGAAAAGACUCAGUUCACUCGUUAAAUAAAGACUCAAGUUUUCGAACCAUCUACAAUAAAAAAAACUCUUAGUGUAAGGCCAUAGUUUCACUCAUCAAGAACAUUGUCCAACAUCCGUACGUCGAGAGGAAGAGAGAGAGAAGGGAGCAACUCAACAAAUUAACCGUUUACCGUUUCUGUACAUCUAAACAUCCGCCAUUCCAAAUGAGCGUAGACAUUCGUUCCGCAUGGAUUUCAAGAGGUACGAAUAAGAGGAGAAGAAACUAAAGUACGAUGAAGGGACAGGGGAAGAGGUGAGGUGGGAAAAGGUGAAUACAAGGCGAUUCGCCAUGGAUAUCGUGAAAGCUGGGGGAGAAACUCGAAACCCCUGCGUUGCUUAUUUCUUUUUGGCCCAUGCAGCUACGUGGAUUGCAUCCACAUUGCUGGAAUAUCCUAUCUUAAGAGAUCCCCGGUUCCCUCAUAUUUAUGUCGUUAGGAAUUUCUUGCGUACAGGUGCGAGAAUCGGCAACGGUAAAACUUUGUCGAAAUCGAUUGAAACUCAUCGCCAUUCGUCUAAAUUAAUCUGUCUACUGGACUAUCGUCAAAUUCAAUUGGACGAACAUCAAUUCUGAUGCGCUUAUUAAACAUUUACUGACGAAUAAAUUUUGAAAUGAUAAAAAAAGGAGAAUGAUUACUAACGUACUUUUUAUUUAUAAAAUUCUCAACAAUAUUAUUGAUUGUGAUAAAAUAGUGUCUUUGAUUAACCCUUGAACAGUCGUGACCUAAACUUAUAAAACGUAUACAAGGGUAUUAACCUAAAAUUAAAUGUAUAAUUUCUUUAACGAAAGGGUGUUAUAAAUUGGAAGAAUAAUUUUUAAGAGAGCAGUAUAAAAUUUAGAAAAUGAGAAUAAUGUGAAAUACAGAAUUAAGUUAAUCCUUAGUUGGUAUCGUCGGGUUUCUGAUGACCUGCAACUGUUCUGUUAUUGAUUCUGUGGUCGUUAAUAUUUCUAGUUUCAUUAUUGUCAUAAUUAAGAAUAUAAUAGAAAAUUAAUUUCGAAUCACUUUUUCUUUCACCAAAGUGCCACCAUACCAACUAAGGAUAAAAUUGUGGCUUUCUUCGUCGUUCGCCACCCGAAAGUUCAUCAUUUCAUAAAUUUCUAUUAUUGCACCUGUCGUUUUUAUUCAAAUAACAUAUUGCAGUACCUUAAAAUGCCACGUGACCUUCAAAUAACUUUAAUAAAUUUAAUAAUUGCGACAAUAGCAAUAUCUGGCGGAGCUUAAACUUGUUAAUUAAUCAUUAAAUUGACACUAAUAAGUUUAAGAUUAUUUGUAUUCUCAGACAUGUAUUAAUAGUAACGCAACUAAUGGGGUCAAAAGGGUUAACUGAUUAAGAAAUUCAGAAGCCAUUUUUCUAACAAAUACCAGGAUAUUUUCAAAUAUUUCAGAAAAUGGGAUCUGAAAUAAGCAAAAAUGAAAAUUAUGUUUAAUAUUAUCAUGAUGCUAAUAAAGUAUAAACAAAAAUUUCUUUCAAAAAUUAUGUUUGCGCGCAUUACUGCGAAACAUUAUGUUCUAUCCUUUUAUUUCGGACAGUCAAUCUUCUAUGAUAGCACUUGAUGUUUCGAUCGCAGGUUCCCCUUGCCUUUGAACCGUCGAUCACACAUUUAUCCAAGCUAUUCGUCCUUGGCCUCCAUAAAAAAGGAGAAAGAACGCACCCACUCGAGAUCCCUAGAACAACCUCUUAUCGAGUGGCUUUCGGGCCAUUUUCGAACCAAGGAACCUUUGCGACUUCGCAUCGACGGGUGUUUUCAUUGCCAUUCCAGUGCCAAGGGUUCAGGGCUAAAACGUACAAGAAACAACUUUGCAAACGGAAGGAAAUUGUUCUUGGAUUUCGUAGCUUAAAGCUGACCAACGCGAACGAUAUACAGGGAGUCUCAAAAGUACUCGUCCAAUCUUUAAGAUAGAAUAACUUUUUAAAAAUUUAACCAAAUUAUUUGAAUCUUUUCAAAAAGAUAAAAGAAUUAAAAUGACCAAUUCUGGAAGUGUGAAAAAAAUAACGAAAAUCAUUUUGCACAAUUUUCUUUUUAUUUGAUUGCGAGCUUAUAUUUAAAGAAAUUUUUGAAAUAUACUUUUUAUGGAUCUUUAAUACGUCGUGAUACAAAAAUUUUUUGAUUACUUUGCUUGUCAUAAAUGUUAGUCUUUUAUUUAUAUUAAAUGGGAUGAGGUAUUUUCAUAAAUAAUAUUCGUAAUCAAAGCAAUCACAGUGUUUCACGUAUAAUUGUCAAUUUUUAUUUACGUUAGACUUGGAAAAAGCUUUCAAUUCGUACAGGCGUAAAUUUUGUGGUAAAACUCGUACAUCGAAUAUAUUCACGGAGCUGUGAAUUUGUACGCUAUUGUUAUAAACCAUGAGAAAUACCGUAAAAAUCGUAGCAACCGCCCAGAUGAACCUUCUGUAUAACUCCAUAUUUUUUGUCUUUAUCAUGAGCGGAAUUACGAAGCGUUCAAAUCAAAGUUGCACGGUAACGAAACGCUGCAGUUAUUUUGAAUAUACAUUCUACAUAUAAAUUUACUAUAUGUUAAGAGUUAUUUGUACGACCUUAUAUCAGUAUUUCAUAUUUACUUAUUUAUUCUAAAAACCAGAAAUAUUUAAUUCUGUUAUGUUCA